GAUGAACGCUGGCGGCGUGCCUAAUACAUGCAAGUCGAGCGAACAGACGAGGAGCUUGCUCCUCUGACGUUAGCGGCGGACGGGUGAGUAACACGUGGAUAACCUACCUAUAAGACUGGGAUAACUUUGGGAAACCGGAGCUAAUACCGGAUAAUAUAUUGAACCGCAUGGUUCAAUAGUGAAAGACGGUUUUGCUGUCACUUAUAGAUGGAUCCGCGCCGCAUUAGCUAGUUGGUAAGGUAACGGCUUACCAAGGCGACGAUGCGUAGCCGACCUGAGAGGGUGAUCGGCCACACUGGAACUGAGACACGGUCCAGACUCCUACGGGAGGCAGCAGUAGGGAAUCUUCCGCAAUGGGCGAAAGCCUGACGGAGCAACGCCGCGUGAGCGAUGAAGGUCUUCGGAUCGUAAAACUCUGUUAUUAGGGAAGAACAAAUGUGUAAGUAACUAUGCACGUCUUGACGGUACCUAAUCAGAAAGCCACGGCUAACUACGUG
rnacentral:rRNA from 1 species